rnacentral:rRNA from 1 species
GACGAACGCUGGCGGCGUGCUUAACACAUGCAAGUCGAACGGAAAGGCCCUGCUUUUGUUGCUUUCUCGUUUGGCGAACGGGUGAGUAACACGUGUGUAACCUGCCCUUAACUUUGGGGUAACUUUUGGAAAAUGGGGCUCAUACCGGAUAGGAGCUCCUGCUGCAUGGUGGGGGUUAGAAAGUUUCGGCGGUUGUGGAUGGACUCGCGGCUUAUCCGCUUGUUGGUGGAGUAGUUGCUUACCAAGGCUUUGACGGGUAGCCGGCAUGAGCGGGUGACCGGCGACCUUAGGACUGAGGUACGGCCCAGACUCGUACGGGAGGCAGCAGUGGGGAGUAUUGCACAACAGGCCGAAGUCUGAUGUAGCGACGCCGCGUGCGGGAUGACGUCCUUCGAGUUGUAAACCGAUUUCGACUGUGACGAAGAGUGAGUGACGGUAAUGAGUAAAGAAGCACCGGCUAACUACGUG